CCUACGGGUGGCAGCAGUGGGGAAUAUUGCACAAUGGGGGAAACCCUGAUGCAGCGACGCCGCGUGAGUGAAGAAGUAAUUCGUUAUGUAAAGCUCUAUCAGCAGGGAAGAAAAUGACGGUACCUGAGUAAGAAGCACCGGCUAACUACGUGCCAGCAGCCGCGGUAAUACGUAGGGGGCAAGCGUUCUCCGGAUUUACUGGGGGUAAAGGGAGCGUAGACGGCAGUGCAAGUAUGGAGUGAAAGGCGGGGGCCCCACCCCCGGACUGCUUGGGAAAAUGUAAGGCUGGAGUGAAGGAGAGGGAAGUGGAAUUUCUAGUGUAGCGGUGAAAGGCGGAGAUAUGAGGAGGAACACCAGUGGCGAAGGCGGCUUACUGGACUGUAACUGACGUUGAGGCUCGAAAGCGUGGGGAGCAAACAGGAUUAGAUACCCCAGUAGUC
rnacentral:rRNA from 1 species